CAGAGGGCUCGGAGCCGAGCCGGGGCUGAGAGACCCCCGGUCCCCACCCGCGGGGCUGUGCCACGGCACGGCAGGAACAGCCGUGUCCCGAAGUGCUGCAGCGGGUCCGGAGGAGGCCACGGAGAUAAUGAGCCCCUCUGCAGGGGAGACAGGCUGAGAGCUGCGGGGUUCAUCCUGGAGAAGGCUCCGGGUAGACCUUUAAAGCCCGUUCCCGUGCCUAAAGGCGCUCGAAGAGAGGUGGAGGGAGGCUUUGGACAGGGGCCUUGGAGUGACAGAGCAAGGGGGAAUGGCUUCACACUGACUGAGAACAGAGUUAGAUGGGGUAUUGGAAAGAAAUUCUUCCCUUUGAGGGUGGUGACAGCACUGGACAGGGUGCCCAGAGAAGCUGCCCCUGGAUCCCUGGAAGUGUCCAAGGCCGGGUUGGAUGGGGCUUGGAGCAGCCUGGGAUGGUGGAAGGUGUCCCUGCCCGUGGCAGGGGGUUGGAACAAGAUGAGCUUUACAGGCCCCUUCCACCCCAAACCAUUCUGUGACUGUGACUAUUGUCCAUGGCUGUGCUGAGCCAUCGGAGCAGUGCUGGAUAAACUGCUGGAUCAACUGGAUAAGUGCUCCCUGGAUGAACUAAGGCUGUGCCCCUCAUACGGCCUUGGGGACUGGACAGCAGUUACCAGUGGCAAGAGGACAGAUGCUUUGGGGGAUCCAGGCUGGACCCCCUGUAGAUGGCACUCGCACACUGUGCGAGGGCAGCGCAUCCCCCGGGAGCUGCUGCUGAGCGCUGUCGCUCCCUCCAGCUGGUUCCUGGCAGAGGAAGAAUUUCCAUGCACAGCCGCCUGCACAGCCCUCGCCAAGCGCUGUUUCAGAGAGGGCCCUGAUUGUGCUGGUGAAGAGCGGCCGUGUCCUGCCCCGGUGGAGCUGCAGAUCAUGUGGAAGCACAGGGAUAUGCUACGUGUGGCCUCGGGAUGCACAGUCAGGUCUUGGGAACCAGAAUUCGCAGCACUCAUCUCCAGCUGCACUCUGUCCUGGGGCAGGCUGAGUCACUGAGGGCAUAAUCACAGACUCACAGAAUUGGUAGGGUUCAAGGGCUUGGAGAUCGCCCAGGUCCCCUUCAAAGUCACCUAAAGCAGGUGACACAGGAACUUGUUCAAAUGGGUUUUGAAUACCUCCAGAGAGAGAAGUACUGAACAGAUCUGUGCUAAAGCUCUGAUGAGUGCCUGACCCCCAAAUCUGCCCACCAGCAAGCUGCCAGCUUGCUGCUCUCUAUAGCAAUACCAUGGAGAUUUAUAGAAAUACCAUGGAACUCUGGAAUCCCCUUGAGCAAGAGCUGCUCCCUGGAUGUAUGAGACACAUGUCAGUUCAUCCCUGAAGCAGCAAAAAUGGUCCCAGACCAAAAGUGAGCCCUGGACCCUCUCCCUGGCAUGACACCUUGAAACUUCCUGGCUUGGCUCCAUGUUUGUGAACACGAGUUCCCUCCACCCCACGGUCUGAAGUCUAUGCAGCACCUGGAAAUCCUCCAACCCUUGGCAGGGUCUGGCUGUGGAGUCAGGGAGUGCCAUUUUGGAGAGGCCCACCUCUGUUAGGGAGGACGAAACAAGUCCCAACAAGGGGACCUUCUGGAAAGGAGCAGCUGCCUGUCCCAUGUGUGGGGUCGGGUCACGCCGGUCCUUGGCGUCAGAGACACGCUCGAGCGGCACUGCUGCCACUGUCAGUGUGGUUUGUGUCGCUGCAACGCAGAGAUGGUUCCUGACCACAAGUAUGGCCGGGGAUGUGUCUCAGAUUCCAGAGCACACAGUCACUGAUGCCAAGCGCCAUCACCCCGUCGCGCCCUGCCUCGAGCAGGAGCCAUCACCCUGCCAGCGCUGGCCUCCUGCAGUGGCAACCAGCCUCACCAAGGGCCCACCUCUGCCUGCCUGCCAGCGGGUCCCCGAGGAUAGAAUGGCACAAAAUCCUCAUGCCUGCAGCCCCACAUGCCUGCUGGGCAUGUCCCCUGCCCCUGUGUGCCCAUGGGCACAGGCCAGCUCCGCAGCCCAAGCCUGCCAGCCUGUGGCUCCGCUCUUCCCAAGGGUUAACAGGACACCACAGGCCAGGCGCUUGCAGAGCGGGGAGGGUUUCUGGCUGACCUUGGCUGGGAAGCAGCGGUGGCGUCGCUCAGCCCUGCCCCCCAAGCGUGGAGCCGGUGGCCAGAACGCUCCCCAAGCCUGGGUGGAGGUAGAUCCAGAGGAAACUCCACCUCCGCGGGAGCCAACCUGCUAUUGCAGGAAUUCCCAGAGAAAUUCCCGCUUGGGGUGAUCUGUCAACGGAUCCAUGAACUUUCUUUUACCUCUUGUGAAAGCAGCUACUUGAAUGUGCUAAAAACAGAGCAGGGGCGAGUCCAUCAGGGAGAGGCUGGGAGGGGGCUUUUGCUGACCCCUGCACACCAAGAGACUCCCUGAAAGUCUCUGUUUGUGGUGCCUGGCUGGCAGCUGCCCUUGGCAGGCAGAUCUGGGAGAGCCAGGAGAAGUUUCCUGCAAAAUAAAACCCCACAAAAUCUCACCUGUUUUUUCCACUGGGCUACUGUAUUUCCCAAGCAACUCUCAGCAGAUUUGAACACAGCGAAUGGGCUUGAUCAAGUUGCUUCCACUAUCCCCAACCAUCCUUUGAGGAGCCAAGGGACCUCUCCACACCUCUUGUGGCACAUACACUCCUAACACAACAGAAAGCAUCACGGUUCCCAGGAGAUAUUUUAGGAUCCAUCCAUGCCAUAAUGGAAGAGCAGCCCACAGAGACUCUGUGUCCUCCACUCCCUACAUCCCCCCACUGCAUCUGUCCUGGAGCUGCAGGUGAGCACCCGUGCCUGGGGACACUGCCAUCUGGACCUCCUGGGACAAGUCCUACACCAAGAAAAGCUGCAGGAUUUGGCUACAGUGGGCAGCAGCUGCAAGGGGAACGUGGCCAGGACCACCCUGUGUGUUAGCCCAGCCUCUGCCACCCUGAGAAACAGGGAGCAUGGAAAGGAGGAUGCAGAGGAGAUGAUGGCUCCCAUGGGCCCUGCUCAUCGCGAGUGCCAGGGUGGAGUUUGGACCUCCAGCUUUGCAGAUGCUCUUCUGAGACAUUUUGGAUUUUCCCUAAACCUCUUCCUCCUAACGAUUUUAAUUAUACUGGCUGCUGUUCAAAACAAUAAUGACAGGGAGAGGAAUAAAUGCUAAGCAGCAGCCUGUCACGCUUCGUGAGAUGCCUCCAGGGGACACUGGGCCAGACAAGCAGCCAGCCCAGAGCCAUGCCAGCCAAGUGGGUGCAGGCUGCCACCCCACAUCAGCCACCAGCAGAUGGUGGGUCUGGGCUGGCCUGUGUGAGCGUGAGAGCCUGUGCAGGCACUCAGGUCUCCCUUCUCUCCCCCUCUCUGUCUCCUUUUAUUCACCUCCAUAAAACAUAGGAAGUUCAAGCCA